CUGUCAGGGAGGAGGAGGAGGAGGAGGAGGGUGAAGGUUGGACAAUGUGCAGUAACGUGUUGCACCACCUUCUCCUCCCUGCACAGAUGUGUAGAUACACUUCACCCUCCAGACUAAUUGAAUCUACGUCUCCACGGCCUGCCUUCCCAGAAUGGGCAGAACCAGCUGCCCUGACGCUGGCUUUUUCUUUUUUUUUCUUCCUUCAUUUUUCCAUUUUGUUUCUGAUGAAAGCCUGAUGGGAGCCGAGCUGUGCAGUGAGCGGUCGGCCGUCAGCCUUUCCAGCAGGGCUCCUCCAGCUGAGGGGAGAGCGAGGGUCUGGUGUCCAGCUGUUCUCUCACCCAGGAGGACGGAAACCUCCCUCAGCUGCAGGGAACUCAGUCAACCUGAGCUUCUCUUAUCCCAACAAACAUUUGUUCAACACAAGCCCAAAGAAGGACGGACGUCUCCCAUCGUCGGUGCUCGGGUCCUAAUUAUGUUUCAGGAAGACAUUAAGGUUGAAACAAACUUGAACCAGACAGCUGCCAUCUUAAAGCCUUGUUGUCCGGGGAUCGAACGCAGAGCUUGGACUCAGCACCAGUCCCGUCUCUGCUGAUGGAUCCCAGCCACCACACAGAGCCUUAUAUAAACCUUCACACUGUUUGGACACCAGUCGCCUGAUCUGGGAUCAGAGGGGCCAAGUGAACGUCAACACAGUAAACUUCAGACUCUGGGGCAGAGGCGAGUAAACACAGGGUCGUGUGGCACAAAGACCAGGAGCUGCAUUUACUUCCUGAAGCUGCUCCUUAAAAAAAUGGUGCAUCAAUGACUCCUCAGUGUAAAACCAGUGAAUCUAUAGUCACUGCAGCAACAUCAGCAGGAAAACCUCUCACAUGAUCAGUCACUGCUCUUUUUUUAUAAAUUUUUUAUUUCAUCGUCACAGAUAGAAGGAGAGUUUACGAGCUGCAGGUCUCUGGGGAUAGAACCCACAACCUCCUGAGUCUGAACCUCAGUCCAGAGUGAACUGAAGAGUCGGGCUCUUCCAGAUCUCCAUCGAGGACCACGAUCAGUCGCUGCUCCUCCAGUCGAGCCCACAGCCUCUCUGUGACCUCGUCCGCAGGCCACACACUGGCUGACCUGAGCAGGGAGCUCUCUGGUGGGUCUGCCUGACAGCUGAGCCUCCAUCCUUUCACCAGCAUCCACAGACGGUGACUCCAGGCUCCGUCUGCUCACACCAACCAUGGCCCUCCACCUCCCGGUUGUUUGCCCUGUCAGGUCGCUGACAGACGUUAGUGGCUGCUGGGCCGCAGCCUCCAGCUCCCUCACCACCACCAUCACUGCACACAGGGGAUCCUGCUGCCUUGUAUGGUGCGUUGCGCUUCUACUCAUCGGGGGAAUUUGAGACUAAAAUGUCUCUUUAAAAUGUCCUAAAAAGAACAAGUCCAAGCUCAGGGGUUGGAGUCACAGGUUUGAUCCCUAACCCAGGCCAACGUCCUAAAGUCUGUGGCAAGACCACAAACUGUAGAGCUGUCAGGAUUGAAGAACAUCAUACGCAUGUCUGAUCAUGGUGUUCGAGUCGCACAAGGAAGACAUGACAGCUCUCCAAAGUGAAGCCUGCCUCCUCCGUGUUAGCAGAGUGGACACAGACUAAGUAAAGGUGCAGGAGCAGAGGAAUGAGGAGAAAAAUGUGAGCGCCUGAAGUCCGAGACGUGGCUGAGGAGCGAGCCAGAUUUUUCACACCCAGAGACGAGUCCUGAAGAUCCCACCCAGGCUCCUCCGGGUCGAACGGGAGGCGGGAGUCUGCAGGAGAGCUCAUCUCCUCCGAGCUGGAGAGCAGCACGGAAACAGACGGAGGGAUUUCUCCUGCAAGACUAAAUACUCCCUCCUGAGGGGACGACACACAGGGUCAGGAGAAUCUUCAGGAAUGCGAUAGAAAAUUCAUCAGCUCUGGACUCCGCUGUCUAUUUAUUUAGGAUGAGGAGUCAGACAGGGACCUGCUGAUGCCUCCUCUUCCUUAUCGCUCUGUGAUGAUGACGAGGUCAGGGUCAAAGUCCGAGACCUGAGAUGACGAGGGUGUGUUCUCCUCCUCCCGAUAUCCUUCCUUGACAACCAGGAAGAGGAAACCUCCACAAACACUUUGUUAAACUGUCCUCCAUGACCAGGCAUGUGGGAAUGUGAAGGGAGGAACUGAUUAGACUGAACGUCUGAUCUGAACGUCCGUACGCUCGGGUUUCUGCAGAUCCUCUCCGAUGACCCCCUCACUUCACGGCAGAAUUCUUUUUUUUCUUUUUCCACCAGUCUUACGCAUGAGGAGUCAAACGAGAAGCAUUCCAGCACAUUUCAACAACUGCCUGUGUUAGCGUUUCCCCGAUCGCCUCCAAAACCAGAGUUUUCCACAUGAAGCUUCGUUUACCAAAUAUAAAUAAUCAGGUUUUAAUAAACUCCAUCUUGGUUUUAAAGCCCAAGAACCACAAGAGAAGAAAAUAAAUUCUUCCACAGUC